rnacentral:lncRNA from 1 species
UCAUCGUGAAAGUCUGCUCUGCUAGUCUGAAACUAAUAGCAUCCAACUGUUGAAAGUCCCGCAACUGGCUCUACAGAAAGAAAGUGCUAGCAAACUCCACAGUCAACUCCCUAUACAUCGGCUCAACUAUCUUAAAGAAAUGUUGAAACGGGGGCGUCUCAAUGUAUCGACGGACUGCAGCUGCAAGUCCGACUGUCUCUAGUGCUGGCCAGUUU